rnacentral:rRNA from 1 species
UACGUAGGGUGCAAGCGUUGUCCGGAAUUAUUGGGCGUAAAGAGCUCGUAGGCGGUUUGUCACGUCGGAUGUGAAACCCUGAGGCUCAACCUCAGGCCUGCAUUCGAUACGGGCAGACUAGAAUUCGGCAGGGGAGACUGGAAUUCCUGGUGUAGCGGUGAAAUGCGCAGAUAUCAGGAGGAACACCAAUGGCGAAGGCAGCACUCUGGGACGGUACUGACGCUGAGACGCGAAAGCGUGGGGAGCAAACAGG